rnacentral:lncRNA from 1 species
AAUCUCAACUGUGCUCCACUUGAGGGCAGCAAACCUCCUUUUAUUCCAAAAUUUACCAAAAAUUUGGAUUAGCUUCAAAUCUGAUGAUUCUUAUUUAGUUGAAAACCUAACUUAAAGAAAUAACCUCAAAUCUUGCUCCAAAAAUCUUUGUAGCAAUCCAAUACUUAAGCCACGAGAAAUGCCCCUUCAAAGUUGAGUAAUUGGAACUACUAUGGCAGCCUACUCCCUUUCACUUGGAAAUUCACCAAAAAUUCAAAUUGGCUUCAAUUUCUAUAAACUAUAUUUUCUUAAAAGCUCACCUUAUAAACCUUGCUUUUUUCAAAAUUUCAGAAUAAUCCACUCAUAAAACACUGAGAAUUGCCUUUUCAAAAUUGAGUAAUCCAAACUACCAAGGCAGCCGACCCCC